GUCUGCGUGGAGCCGACCUUGAAAUACCACCCUUUAAUGUUUGAUGUUCUAACGUGGACCCGUAAUCCGGGUUGCGGACAGUGUCUGGUGGGUAGUUUGACUGGGGCGGUCUCCUCCUAAAGAGUAACGGAGGAGCACGAAGGUUGGCUAAUCCUGGUCGGACAUCAGGAGGUUAGUGCAAUGGCAUAAGCCAGCUUGACUGCGAGCGUGACGGCGCGAGCAGGUGCGAAAGCAGGUCAUAGUGAUCCGGUGGUUCUGAAUGGAAGGGCCAUCGCUCAACGGAUAAAAGGUACUCCGGGGAUAACAGGCUGAUACCGCCCAAGAGUUCAUAUCGACGGCGGUGUUUGGCACCUCGAUGUCGGCUCAUCACAUCCUGGGGCUGAAGUAGGUCCCAAGGGUAUGGCUGUUCGCCAUUUAAAGUGGUACGCGAGCUGGGUUUAGAACGUCGUGAGACAGUUCGGUCCCUAUCUGCCGUGGGCGCUGGAGAACUGAGGGGGGCUGCUCCUAGUACGAGAGGACCGGAGUGGACGCAUCACUGGUGUUCGGGUUGUCAUGCCAAUGGCACUGCCCGGUAGCUAAAUGCGGAAGAGAUAAGUGCUGAAAGCAUCUAAGCACGAAACUUGCCCCGAGAUGAGUUCUCCCUGAGACUUAGAGUCUCCUGAAGGAACGUUGAAGACGACGACGUUGAUAGGCCGGGUGUGUAAGCGCAGCGAUGCGUUGAGCUAACCGGUACUAAUGAACCGUGAGGCUUAACCUUAC
rnacentral:rRNA from 1 species